rnacentral:rRNA from 1 species
AGUGAACGCUGGCGGCGUGCCUAAUACAUGCAAGUCGAACGGAGUGGCGCACGGGUGAGUAAUAUAUAGCUACCCUGCCCCUUGCUGGAGGACAACGGUAAGAAAUGACUGCUCAUAUUCCAUAGGAAGGGAGGAGACGAUAUCGUAUCAGCUAGUCGGUGGUGUGACGGCCUACCGAGGCUAUGACAAGUAACUGGUCUGAGAGGAUGAUCAGUAACAUUGUAACUGAGACACGGUCCAAACACCUACGGGAGUGGGCAGUAGGGAAUAUUGCGCCAUGGGGGAAAGCCUGAAGCAGCAUCGCCGCGUGGAGGAUGACACUUUUCGGAGCGUAAACUCCUUUUGUUAGGGAAGCGGUACCUAACGAAUAAGCACCGGCUAACUCCGUGCCAGCAGCCGCGGUAAUAC